CGUCGGGUCCUCUGCAACGCUGGGACGUGAACUUGGUCAGGUCCGGAAGGAAGCAGCCAUAAGCGAAUCUACAGUGUGUGCCGGAGAUCGCCCGGCGGAG
rnacentral:SRP_RNA from 1 species